UGCUUAAGUCCUGGAUGAAGGGCAACUUUUCCGUUGUAGUCUGUUCCUUUCCAGUUUCGUGGCAUAUCCAAACCAAACAGUGAUGGACGUGAAGAGAACAGACUGGAUGAUGGCUGUGUAAAAGUGGAUCAUUAACUUCAUGGACAGGUUAAUCUGCCAUAGACAUGACUAUAAAGUCGUGUUUUGAACAUUGGGCGCAACAGAUGAAUGUUGCUUGUUCGCUGUCGCCAGCAGAUUCACAAUAUGUAAUUUGUUUCUUUCUGUCAGAUUUCGUUGGUGAGGUAUUGACGAUCAAAGUCCGAAUCUUUAAUAUAAAGCAAACUUCACCUCAGUACAGAACUUGUCUUUAUAGAUAGGUAUAACUUAGAACGAAUAUUUUUAAUAAAUAUUUUUUAUAAAUCAACUAAUACUAUUCCCAUUCAAUAAACAGAGUUCCCACCAUGAAACAUGCAUCUACUGGACGUAUAUUUCCAGCCUAGUUCAAACGUUAAAGCUACUUUCAACACUGUAGCAGCCUCCCCCCACCGAACCCCUUCCCUGCCUUCGAAACCUGACAUCUGUUGAUCGCUGUUACUUUGGAUGAUGUCCAUAAUGAAAUUAAGCCAACAAGAAAGACUGUGGUUGACACAUCUACUAUUUAUUGUCGGACUGUGCUUCUCUACCAGCCAGACUGGUGAAGAGAUGCUGACACAGGUUGUUGGAAAAUCCAUCACAUUUUCUAAUCCAGUAAAGCAAGGUGGCUCUUUAUUAUAUAAUGGUGGUACUAUAGCUGUGGUGGUUAAAGGAAACAUGGACUCAUCCUAUAGAGACAGUUUCAAAGACAGAAUUCAGUGGGACCAACAGACUGCACAGUUCACCAUCAAAGAUCUAACAACCAGUGAUUCAGGGAUGUAUGUUGUGGAUGGAAAGGGAGGUGACAAGACAACAUAUCAACUCACUCUGUAUGAACCUGUAUCCAGGCCCACGUUGACAACAGCUUGUAAUGGUAUCUAUUCAGUGGAGUGUUCUGUAAAGAAUGGGAGAGAUGUGACCCUUUCCUUGUACAGUGGAGAGGAGAUACUCAACCACACCAGCAGCCCUGACCUUUUCAUCAAGCUCUCUCUCCCUCUGGAAGUUGACAAAGAGAACAGAACCUCUUAUAGAUGUGAGGCUGCCAACCCUGUUACCAAGGAGAAUGUGACAUUUCAUGUCCCAGAAUCCUGCAUGGUGAAUAAAAUGACAGAUAAUGAUAGUAAGAGGACUCGCCAGUCUCUUAUUAUUACCGUAUUCCUUCCGGUUGCUUCGGGAGUGGUUGGAUUUGCAUUUUAUGUAAAGAAGCGAAGAAAAAGAGACAAACCAGGCAGAUCCAUCUGAAAGAGAGCAAGAUGUCCAUAUGUAUGAGGAGUUAAGUUACAGCAAACCAAAAACAAAUCAGGAAAAUCACAGUUUUACACUAGAACAGGAUCCAUGUUAUGAGAACCCUGAAGGGAGAUCAGUUUAUGAUCAAAUCCAGUUACAUCGCAUUAGCAGUAAAGUCUCAACAGCAUGAAGAGGAGAGGAAACAGAGUGUGUACUUAAAGGCCGGCAUGCUAACUCACAUCCUGGAGAAGAUUGAACGUCAUAAAGAGGAUAUUUCGACAAAUUUAAAGGAAAGCGAUUCAUCCAAAAAAGCUAAAUUUUUGCCUUUGCAGCAUGUUAUUAUUUCCAUUGGAUUGUGAUAUCCUUUGUUUAGUUGUUCUCACUCUUUUGUUUCACUGGGACGGCAAUUUAUUUCAAUAGCUCUUCCUCAGCCUUUUUUAAGCUGCUGAUUGCUUGGCUUGUCAGUUGAAUGCAGCUGUGUACAUAAUGGGAAAUGUCUGUUAGGCUGUGUUGGAAGCAGAAGGCUCAUUGGUUAACUUUGUCCAUGAAUAUUCUAUUAAAAUGGUUAAGAAGGGCAGAAAUUUAUGAAUACUUAGUCUGAGAAAAUGACUGUGCAUAAAAGUUUAUUUAUAGCUAAAUGUGAUUGUUUAGUUCUGAUGUUCCUUUGACAAGAUCAAAACUACAGGUUCAAGUGGAGUGUAUGUAUGAAAUCAACAGCUUAAUGUAUUAUGAUAUAUUGCCAUUCCUUGUCAACUGUAUGUACGUAGCUAAUAAUUCAUCCAUUAAUAUUGCAUAUAAAUCAUUUUGUGAGUGCAUACAUGUUCAUUUUGGCCCCUCGUGGUAAUGAAACCCAUUACACUGGUAUUGAGGCCCCGUGCUCUACCACCUAAACCACACAAGCCCACAUCCCUUUAAGAAUACAACUAAACCCUCUGACACAGUUCUGCAUGCUAUUCAUACAGGUUUUCUUAGAUCAACAGUACAGCCUUUGUAAAUAUUAUAUUUGGCUGGUCAAACAUUAGUGUCAUCAUAAAAACUGUCAACCGUUGAUAUCAUAAUAAGGUGUGGCCCUGUAGGUUAUUUUAGUUUUAUAUUACUAAUAUACAGUGGG